rnacentral:rRNA from 1 species
GGGUUGUGAGGUUAAGCGACUAAGCGUACACGGUGGAUGCCCUGGCAGUCAGAGGCGAUGAAGGACGUGCUAAUCUGCGAUAAGCGUCGGUGAGGUGAUAUGAACCGUUAUAACCGGCGAUUUCCGAAUGGGGAAACCCAGUGUGUUUCGACACACUAUCAUUAACUGAAUCCAUAGGUUAAUGAGGCGAACCGGGGGAACUGAAACAUCUAAGUACCCCGAGGAAAAGAAAUCAACCGAGAUUCCCCCAGUAGCGGCGAGCGAACGGGGAGGAGCCCAGAGCCUGAAUCAGUGUGUGUGUUAGUGGAAGCGUCUGGAAAGGCGCGCGAUACAGGGUGACAGCCCCGUACACAAAAAUGCACAUGCUGUGAGCUCGAUGAGUAGGGCGGGACACGUGGUAUCCUGUCUGAAUAUGGGGGGACCAUCCUCCAAGGCUAAAUACUCCUGACUGACCGAUAGUGAACCAGUACCGUGAGGGAAAGGCGAAAAGAACCCCGGCGAGGGGAGUGAAAAAGAACCUGAAACCGUGUACGUACAAGCAGUGGGAGCCUCUUAAUGGGGUGACUGCGUACCUUUUGUAUAAUGGGUCAGCGACUUAUAUUCUGUAGCAAGGUUAACCGAAUAGGGGAGCCGAAGGGAAACCGAGUCUUAACUGGGCGUUAAGUUGCAGGGUAUAGACCCGAAACCCGGUGAUCUAGCCAUGGGCAGGUUGAAGGUUGGGUAACACUAACUGGAGGACCGAACCGACUAAUGUUGAAAAAUUAGCGGAUGACUUGUGGCUGGGGGUGAAAGGCCAAUCAAACCGGGAGAUAGCUGGUUCUCCCCGAAAGCUAUUUAGGUAGCGCCUCGUGAAUUCAUCUCCGGGGGUAGAGCACUGUUUCGGCAAGGGGGUCAUCCCGACUUACCAACCCGAUGCAAACUGCGAAUACCGGAGAAUGUUAUCACGGGAGACACACGGCGGGUGCUAACGUCCGUCGUGAAG